GGUUCCACGAGCGCCUGGCAGAGACUGAGGGAGAGAGAGAGAAAGAGGAGGGGAGGAGGAGGAUUCAGGGAAUAGGAGCUGGGGAGCCCUUCUGCGCCACAGAAAAUUUCCAAAGACUUGGUGAAGAUAGGAAAACUAUCAGAAAGGCAGUGGCACAAUUAUCCUGUAUUUGCUUUUUUGCUAGCAGCUCAGUUGAGGGAAAACUCAGCUGAUCUCUAUUUCUUCAUUCUUCUUUGCUUCCUGUUUGCCAAUCAAGACUUGUAUUUGGAGAACUGUUUUGUACUGAGUCUGAAGUCAUCUUUGACCUGUAACAAGAGC